CGGCGUAAAGCGUGGUUAAAAAUUGUUAAAACUAGAGCCGAAUAACCUCAAAGCAGUUAUACGCAUUCGAGACCACGAAGCACAAUUACGAAAGUAGCUCUACCCCACUUUGACUCCACGAAAACCAUAAAACAAACUGGGAUUAGAUACCCCACUAUGUAUGGCUGUUAACAUCGAGGGCCCGAUACUCAGACCCUCCGCCUGGGGACUACGAGCAUUAGCUUAAAACCCAAAGGACUUGGCGGUGCUUUACCCCCCACUAGAGGAGCCUGUUCUAGAACUGAUAACCCCCGUUGAACCUCACCAUCCCUCGUUUAACCCGCCUAUAUACCGCCGUCGUCAGCUUACCCUGUGAAGGCCAAAUAGUAAGCAAAAAUGGCUAAGCCAAAAACGUCAGGUCGAGGUGUAGUGAAUGGGAUGGGAAGAAAUGGGCUACAUUCUCUGCCACAGAGAAUACGAAUGGCAGCCUGAAAACCCUGCCUGAAGGUGGAUUUAGCAGUAAGGAAGGAAUAGAGUGCCUCCCUGAAAACGGCCCUGAAGCGCGCACACACCGCCCGUCACUCUCCCCAAAUAAUUAUAGAUAUUACCUAAAAUGUUUUACCAACCAAGGGGAGGCAAGUCGUAACAUGGUAAGCGUACCGGAA
rnacentral:rRNA from 1 species